UACUCAUCAAGAGUUGGUGGAGGGACUGGCCCGAUGAAACCGCGGCAACCAUUUGGCAAGUCCAAAACGGUGCCAAUUCCGGCGUACGGCGCGAGAUGGGGA
rnacentral:ncRNA from 2 species